GAGAGUAAGUGCUCUUUGAAGAGCUCUGUCUUCAGGAGUUUAUUAAAGAUAGUGAGAGAUUCUCCUGAUCUGGUAGUAGAAGGUAGUUAGUUACCCUUAUAGUCUUAAGUGUUACUCUUGUUGGAGUAAAAUAUUAU